rnacentral:rRNA from 1 species
UAGGGAAUUUUCGUCAAUGGGCGCAAGCCUGAACGAGCAAUGCCGCGUGAGUGAGGAAGGUCUUCGGAUCGUAAAGCUCUGUUGCGGGGGAAAAAGAAGCAGAAAGGAAAUGGUCUGCUUUUGAUGGUACCCCGCAGAAAGUCACGGCUAACUACGUGCC